rnacentral:rRNA from 1 species
CCCUUAGAUGUUCUGGGCCGCACGCGCACUACACUGAUGCAUUCAACGAGUCUAAAACCUGGUCUGAUAGGGCUGGGUAAUCUUUUGAAUGUGCAUCGUGAUUGGGAUAGAUGAUUGCAAUUCUUCAUCUUCAACGAGGAAUGCCUAGUAAACGCAAGUCAUCAGCUUGCAUUGAUUACGUCCCUGCCCUUUGUACACACCGCCCGUCGCUCCUACCGAUUGAAUGUUCCGAUGAAUACCAUGGACUGAGAGUAUGAAUGGGUUCGCCUAUUUCUGCUUCUCGGGAAGUGGAGUAAAUCUUAACAUUUAGAGGAAGGAGAAGUCGUAACA